rnacentral:rRNA from 1 species
UACAGAGGGUGCAAGCGUUGUUCGGAAUUAUUGGGCGUAAAGCGCGUGUAGGCGGCUUUGCAAGUCGGGUGUGAAAGCCCUCGGCUCAACCGAGGAAGUGCGCCCGAAACUGCAGAGCUUGAGUACCGGAGAGGAUGGCGGAAUUCCCCAAGUAGAGGUGGAAUUCGUAGAUAUGGGGAGGAACACCCGUGGCGAAAGCGGCUCUCUGGGACGGUACUGACGCUGAGACGCGAAAGCGUGGGGAGCGAACAGG